AUAAAUUGAGUAAAUUUCGCGGCUAAAGUGAUCACGUGUGCAGCUCCGCAGAAAACAAAGACAAUCUGCUUUCCUCAGCAACGACGUCGACUAGCCGUACUCCUCGCAACUCCUGUUUCGCGGCUUAAUCGAAGCCACCUGAAGGACGGCUUUCCUCAGCAACGGCAAGGCCCGCACUCCUCGCAUAUCCUGUUGAACAAGUUUCGCGGCUCAAGCAAGAGGCACCUGUCACUGAAGAACUGCUUUCCUCAGCAACGACGUGAACAGCAUUACUCGAAUAUCCUGAUUCAGCUGAUCUACCUGUCUUUGUACAAGCGGAGUUGGCAGAGGAGGUCAUAAAAAUCUACAUCCUUCGGGACAAUGAUGGGGCAGUCAGCGAUGUAGGAGUUGUGAUUGAGGACAUCACUGUCCUCAGCAAUCUCGGGAAUCUCAGCAGAGCCUGCUGCUAUCUUUUGGGACUCACGUACGCAUUGGAUUUGAGAUAUCCCAAGACCCACAAAUACUCACUUGAGGUUUACAAAAACUGUUUCUUGAGCUGGAUCCUUCAAGACUCUCUGUUAAGGUUCAGAGGUUAAAAAAAUAUCAUCUUG